GACGAACGCUGGCGGCGUGCUUAACACAUGCAAGUCGAACGGAAAGGCCCUGCUUUUGUGGGGUGCUCGAGUGGCGAACGGGUGAGUAACACGUGAGUAACCUGCCCUUGACUUUGGGAUAACUUCAGGAAACUGGGGCUAAUACCGGAUAGGAGCUCCUGCUGCAUGGUGGGGGUUGGAAAGUUUCGGCGGUUGGGGAUGGACUCGCGGCUUAUCAGCUUGUUGGUGGGGUAGUGGCUUACCAAGGCUUUGACGGGUAGCCGGCCUGAGAGGGUGACCGGCCACAUUGGGACUGAGAUACGGCCCAGACUCCUACGGGAGGCAGCAGUGGGGAAUAUUGCACAAUGGGCGGAAGCCUGAUGCAGCAACGCCGCGUGCGGGAUGACGGCCUGCGGGUUGUAAACCGCUUUCGCCUGUUACGAAGCGUGAGUGACGGUAAUGGGUAAAGAAGCACCGGCUAACUACGUG
rnacentral:rRNA from 1 species